rnacentral:rRNA from 1 species
GAUCCUGGCUCAGGAUGAACGCUGGCGGCGUGCUUAACACAUGCAAGUCGAGCGAAGCGCUUUGGAAAGAUUCUUCGGAUGAUUUCCUUUGUGACUGAGCGGCGGACGGGUGAAGGUAACGCGUGGGUAACCUGCCUCAUACAGGGGGAUAACAGUUAGAAAUGGCUGCUAAUACCGCAUAAGCGCACGGUACUGCAUGGUACAGUGUGAAAAACUCCGGUGGUAUGAGAUGGACCCG